AUCGCUGCUCAAGAUGGCCACCGCCCCACCGCCCGCCAACAACGAACAACGACGCGGUCGUUGCGUUGCGGUCAGUCGGUCGCUGCGCGCAAUCGAAAAAAAACAUCGCGGAGUGUUUCGGGUUUAUGGUCGUUGGCUUACAUGGUCUGAUAGUCCGGUCCCGGGUCCCGGUCGGACAGAGUCGUCUGUACAGGCAAGGACGGAACCCAGAUGACGACAAAACUAACCAGCUUCUAUAAGUGCUAUGUGCACGCGUGAGGGAGUGAGAAAUGAGAGAGAUGAAGUGUCGACGGCGCCAACAGGUUCACUUCGCGUGUGCACACAAUGAAUCGCGGACGCGGGGGCCGCCUUGUCGUCGCCCCACAAAAAGCCGUCAAACUGGUAAAGAGCCGCGAGCAAACUCCACGAGAAAGUACUAGCUCAAGUGAACAAAAAACGAGAGAGAGAGGGAAAGGGAGAUGGGAAAUCUGGUAUGCAGUGACCACCGCAACCUAUGGGAAGUACCAAAAGAGAGUUUUAGAUAUUACCUAGCUUAUUCCAUUCACGAAACUUCCAUACAAGUCCUCUCGUCUUUACUGAAUGAAUUUAUACGACAACUAUGAAUAGAAUUUGGGAGCAGAGGAAAUAAUGUUUCAUAAUUAUUGUGUUAGUAAGAUUACGAGUUCAAUGUUAUGACGCCGUAUGAUAUUUUCCUACAUAAAUAUUCAUCUUUGACAUUAUUUUGUUUCUCAAGUUUUUUCAUGUGAUGUAAAAAACGAUAAAAGUAGCAACCAUAAGAUUUUUCAUUCGUUAGAGUUUCUGCUUCAUCGACUGAAUUGAUGAUUUCUUGAAUCAAUAUCCAAAUCCUAAACUAUAACAGCCCUAAAAUUAAUAUUGUUCGAAGUAAUAUUACUCUUGAUUACAGAAACAUCAGCGAGGACAGAGAUUCAGGCUUGCGCCAAAACAGUUUAAAAAUUGCUUGAUUCCCGGUGACAAUUUUUUUCAUUUGCUAUCCGAUGAUAUUCAUACCCUAUUUAAUGUAAUUGGGAUUUUACCAGAAUUUUCUUGUGAAAGAAAUAAAGUCCUGGAUGUUAAGACUCCUGGCCAGCACCGAACAAAUAUCUUUCUUUCGCUCUCUCGUUCCUCCUCAAACAAGGUAAUCUAGACGAGAUGAAACGAGAGCUUUACUGUACACAAGCCUAAGUACAUUGGGAAUAUGGUUGGUAAUGUGUAAGAUAAGCACGCAGGUACACUAUGUGUGAUGUCCGAAGUAUCGAUCUUUGAUCGCGACCUCUCGAUCGCGCGACCCAAGCCAGGAUCGCUUUGAUGUCAUGACCUUAGCCAGUAUUAUUACCGCCAUAAAUCAUCCAUGUUGAAUUGCACUGUGGGGCUCGCGUGAUGAGAGCAUUACCCGAUGAGAGAGCGAGAGAGAGGGAGAAAGAUAGGAAGGAAGAGAGGGCGAGAAGAAGAGGGAAGCUUUCUUGAGAGACCACGUCGAAUAAUCCACCAGGUUGAAUCUGCGCAGGAUAUCUUCUUGCCGGGAUGUAAUACGCCAAGCGAAUCAUCGGGACUCCGGUGAAAGUCGACGAAACGCGCGGUUCUCGUUCUUUCUCCGUCUCUUUCGAGAGUUCACGAGCGAAAAGGCGCGAUAUAUCCUCGUUUCCAGGCUGGUUCUCUCGCAACGAGAUAUAUCUCACGAGGACCUCUCUCCCUCGCGUCGAGAUCUCUCGACACCCGGUUUUGUUUCGUAUUUGUGUACCGAUGGUGAUCACAAUUUACUGUGUAGUACGUCGCACGCGAGAAAUCAAAUUAAUUCCCCGCCCACCGUUACUCGUUCGUCGGGGCAAUCAACACGAUUACCGUAAUCGAGGAACAGGCCAGGCACUCUCGCGUACAAAUGCAUCCAGCAGCAGGAGAGACCCUGGCGCCCAUGGUUUCCCAUUUGACGCUCGAGCUGCCCACGCGGGACCGCGGUCCCUCAAUGUGGGACGUAAUAGUAUGCACUUCCCUCGUCUGCAUAUACCUUUUUUAUUGGGUGUAAGAUGAGUUCAAGGAUGUAUAAAAGUCCUUUCGCAUCAUCCUGACCUGUGGUGGGUAUGCCGCAUCCACUUUAUGAGAAUUCCAUCAGGAAUAGUUUUCCUCGGAAUAUCCACGUGAAAGAGUAGAAAAGUGAAACGGGAAGAGAGAGCGUGGAACGACGAUGACAGUACUGGCAAACCCUCAUAUCGUUUCUAUAUCCCACGGGUAACAGCGGGUUCACUCGAGCGUCCUGGGACAAGCGACCUCGACGGGUCUCUGGGAUAUGAUGUUCCUUCACCCUUUGUACGGAGAGCGGGUCAUUGGACGACCGGAUUAGCUGAACCGAGGUGACCGUGCCAAACGAGACCGGAAAAACAAUCUCACAAAUUAUGAGAUCCAACUGUAAAUACUUUCAUGCGGUAAGGAUAGUAAACGAAGGAAAAGAAUCAAUUUUCCUUUUCUCCUUGGCCUCCGAAAUGUCAAUUUUAUUCGAUAUUUAUUGUCGCUAUGAGCUGAGAUUGACGAAAACUGAUGGUCUGAAAAUUGAGGAUGCAGAAAAGCUGCAGUAACAUCGAGAUAUUUGAUUGAUGCGAGUGGAAUUCAGUAACGCAACGCUCGAAUCAAUGUCACGGCGCAGGGUUUACAACUCUUGGAGAAAAACUGCAUCCACGUGAACGACAGCACUGCGAUUGUACGCUACGGUUGGCUCACAAAUGUCCUUGGGGACGAGAAAACCUUCCGCCAUCGUGAAGAAGAUGUAGAUCGAUUGUCAACGUCAGAGCUUUCCUUUCUUUUCAGAUCUUCGUUGACAGAAUUGCGAGAGACUCGACAGUCGCCGUCAAAGAAAUUGGUCGACCAUUAGAAGCGUUUGACGACAGAAAGGUUGGCUUGUUAGAAGAACGAAUGCGGUACAACUUACAAUUAGUAUACGAGCGAAAGAGAGAAGUCACGAGGAAGCGCCUUCUCGCGAUGAAUGAGCCACCGAGCAGCGGCAAAUCUCCAACGUCACCGUGCUACUCUCACGUUUCAAUGAACGCUUUUGACGGCCUCGAUGUCCGCGCGGAUCCUUUCAAUGGAUGUUAUACGCGUAAUGCGCGAUCGGCUGCACCAACUGACCGCACACGAGCGCGUUAGGUGUUAAUCAUUCCGGUGCCUCGGUACUCAUGAACGAAUAAGAUCGCUUCGAAAAUUUACAUCGCGAGUAAAAACGAGAUUUGCGUCAAAAAAUUUAUUGCAAAAUGACGAAUAAUGAAUUUUCUUCCAACCGAGAAUUGCACGGUGAACGACGCGCAUCGCCGAUUGCGCUGCGUUGCGAAGCAACGAAUAAACUCGUUUUUACUACACUUUGAAAAUUCUUGGCAAUACGGAGGUUAGAGAAGAUUAAGACAGGAAUCACAAGUCCUUGCAACUGACUGAUAGCCGGAACGGUACAGUACACGGGUGGAUGGGCGAGAAGGAAAAUAAGUUUUUGGCAGGCAACAGUAGCAGCUGGUCCAGCGUGUAAGAGACGUCGUUUCGAGCUCGGUGCAGUAUGUUGAUGGGGAUGCUGCGUUCGUGGAUGGUGCUUCUGGCUUGUCAGAAGGGGUGUGCGAGCGAGAGGAGGCUCGCUUGGCCCUCAACGGACUAGGAGACGUUCUGCAUAAUCCAUAGAGAUCGUAAAAGCGUUUUACGAUUCUCUCUAUACUGUGGAAGCAUCUAGUAUGAGUGGCGAACGCGAGCAAGAGAGGAGAGGCUAAGAGGAGAGAGCACAGAAAAAACGAAGUACCUAAUGCGGUAAUUUCUGCAACGUAUAGCCUAUACAUAGUGAAGGAUGGAAACUUGCGCGCAUUGGACGAUAAAAGACGGGGAAACCUGCAGACUACAUAUUUAUACCUAUAGGUUGCCGCGCCUCAAGUGCUUCGGCAGUGCUUCCAAAAGAGCUCUCGAAGUCGCCCGAUUCUCGAUCUUCUUUCUCGACGGUCCAUGCUGUACACCAUCGCCACUAUUCGUGCCGCUUUUCUGACGAACCAAGUGCGUCUCGUUCAGCGUAUAGCCUCGCGAUUGGAUGAGAAUUACGAUGUACCCGGUGCUCGUCACAAUUCCGAAGUGACAGCAUGAGCUGUAAAAAUCUGCUUCAUUCUACAAAAAUACCAACGAAUUAUCGAGCUUAGCUUAUCGAUUCCAUUUACGAUUACAAUUUUUCCUCUCCAUCUUGAAUUUUUGCAUUAAAUUGAAUGAUUAAUUGGAGCAGACUUCAUUGGCUGAUUUCCUGGAUUUCCUUCUCAAAUGUAUGGCCUGACGAACGACACUAUUAUUUAUUUUAUUGAACAAUCCUUUUUAUAUAU